rnacentral:rRNA from 1 species
AACGAACGCUGGCGGCAGGCUUAACACAUGCAAGUCGAACGCCCCGCAAGGGGAGUGGCAGACGGGUGAGUAACGCGUGGGAAUCUACCGUACCCUACGGAAUAACGCAUGGAAACGUGUGCUAAUACCGUAUACGCCCUAGGGGGAAAGAUUUAUCGGGGUAUGAUGAGCCCGCGUUGGAUUAGCUAGUUGGUGGGGUA